CAGUAGCCACGGUAAUACAGAGGGUGCAAGCGUUAAUCGGAAUUACUGGGCGUAAAGCGCGCGUAGGUGGUUUGUUAAGUUGGAUGUGAAAUCCCCGGGCUCAACCUGGGAACUGCAUUCAAAACUGACUGACUAGAGUAUGGUAGAGGGUGGUGGAAUUUCCUGUGUAGCGGUGAAAUGCGUAGAUAUAGGAAGGAACACCAGUGGCGAAGGCGACCACCUGGACUAAUACUGACACUGAGGUGCGAAAGCGUGGGGAGCAAACAGGAUUAGAUACCCCUGUAGUCCCUGUCUCUUAUAC
rnacentral:rRNA from 1 species